GACGAACGCUGGCGGCGUGCUUAACACAUGCAAGUCGAACGGAAAGGCCCUGCUUGCAGGGUACUCGAGUGGCGAACGGGUGAGUAACACGUGGGUGAUCUGCCCUGCACUUCGGGAUAAGCCUGGGAAACUGGGUCUAAUACCGGAUAGGAGCCAUUUUUAGUGUGAUGGUUGGAAAGUUUUUUCGGUGUAGGAUGAGCUCGCGGCCUAUCAGCUUGUUGGUGGGGUAAUGGCCUACCAAGGCGGCGACGGGUAGCCGGCCUGAGAGGGUGGACGGCCACAGUGGGACUGAGAUACGGCCCAGACUCCUACGGGAGGCAGCGGUGGGGAAUAUUGCACAAUGGGCGCAAGCCUGAUGCAGCGACGCCGCGUGGGGGAUGACGGCCUUCGGGUUGUAAACUCCUUUCGCUAGGGACGAAGCUUUUUGUGACGGUACCUAGAUAAGAAGCACCGGCUAACUACGUG
rnacentral:rRNA from 1 species